rnacentral:tRNA from 1 species
GGAGAGGUGGCAGAGCACGGUUGAAUGCGACGCACUCGAAAUGCGUUAAGGAGGAAACUUCUUCGUGGGUUCAAAUCCCACCCUCUCCG